CCAUAAAAAAAGUGUCUCACACGGCUCUGGGGGGUGAACAAAGGCCUCCUGUGGCGAAUCGAUGCGUUUUUGUAAGAAAAUUAUCCAUAUUCAAAAUGUAAUAAUCACUUUACUCUAGGUUGCGCUCACUGUUUUAAAUGGAAGCAGCUCUGGGCCUAUGACGUAUGAGUUCAGUGUUGCGCAAAGGCCAUUGAGUCUCGUGAAAACCAACGUUUGUUUACAGGAUCAAAGGAAGCAAAGUUACCUUACUUUAGCAAAGGAAAACCAGUCUCCUCUUGGCUUAUAUCGAAAUCCUCUGACAUUCUUCUUUACAAAUCCUAGUUUUGUACUUCUAAUUAGUGACCGUUGUUUUGUUUUGACCUCUCCGCUGCAUUUCUGUAUGCGUCACUUCUGAGUGGCGCAUGCGCAAAGCCGACCUCCAUACGUCAUCCACUCGACCUUGCCUUUAUGACCUGUGAUGACCUCCAUGCACAUCAGAGAAAGCUGUCACUUUGUACAGCUGGUGUUGUUGUCAAGUGGUUAAAGGGUCAGGAUAUUAAAAUCAGCCAAAGGCCAAUUAUUCUGGCAGAGGAACUGGUUUUGCCAUCUCUUUCUGGAUUACCCAUGAGGCUAAACAUCAACAUGUCCACUCUGUUCUCCCUCAAACUUACAGGCAUCGCUAACUACAACAAUUGGUUGCAUUUCUCAAUGGCUGGCUAUGUCAAACCAAAGUAUGUCUGAUGAAGUUUUAAAAACGUGGUGUCAGGUUGAAGUCAUGAUGACAAGUCAUCUCCUGUUUGUGCUUUUACACAGUGCAAUGGUCACCAUCUCUGUGAGAGCUGGAGUGGAUGGAGCCUUUGGUCUUGUGGGAUUUUUGUGAAUGUUUAGCAUAUUUUUCCAUCUUUUUAACACAGCGCAGAUUGAUGAAUUAAACAACCAACAUUCAGGCAGAAUCAAACUACUGAUAGACAACAUCCACCAUUAUUUUAUCAAGGGACUACUGGAGACAGUGAAUCUUCCUUCAGAGACGAAAGCCCACAUUAAUCUUGAUGCCAAAGUAGUAGCAGAUGGGCAUCCAUUCUCCCUCUCAGUCAACACCACACAUGCUCGCAGCAGGAGGUUCAUAAUACAGGCUUUGCCUAAAAAUGUCUUCAUUAAAGAUGCAUCGCUCUCAGGCAAGUCUUAGCUAAUACUUUUUUAACGGUUCCAUAAGUACUUUUUCUCAUUCAAGUUCUCAUUUUUCAUUCAUUGGGGAUUUCAAAAGAUUUGUCAGUGUAA